GAAAGAAGAAGUGAGAACAGCGAAAGAUAUUAUCUCUGAGCUCGUCAAGGACCAUCCAAAGCGUGCUUCUGUGUCUCUCUCUUCCUCUUUCUCUUCUCUCAACCUCUCUCUGACUCAAAUAUUUACCUUUUUCGCACUCGUGAAAGAGAAAUUUUUUGUUACUAUUCUUUAUUCUGAGUUUUUAUUGGAAUUUACUGAAACUCUUACUGUCGAAGAGAUAUUUUGUCGUUUUGUGUACUCAAAAUUAGGAAAACAAUGGGAGGAAGAAAAACAAGAAAGAGCAAGAAUAAAGAAGGAGAAGAAAGAAAGAAAAAAGAGAGAAAAGACCAAGAAAGACAAAGAGAAAGAGAAGC
rnacentral:ribozyme from 1 species